GACGAACGCUGGCGGCGUGCCUAAUACAUGCAAGUCGUGCGGACCUUGUUGAAAGCUUGCUUUUAAAAGGUUAGCGGCGGACGGGUGAGUAACACGUGGGCAACCUGCCUGUACGACUGGGAUAACGCCGGGAAACCGGGGCUAAUACCAGAUCGUUUUUUCCUCCGCAUGGAGGAAAAAGGAAAGGCGGCUUCGGCUGCCACUUACAGAUGGGCCCGCGGCGCAUUAGCUAAUUGGCGGGGUAAUGGCCCACCAAGGCAACGAUGCGUAGCCGACCUGCGAGGGUGAUCGGCCACAUUGGGACUGAGACACGGCCCAAACUCCUACGGGAGGCAGCAGUAGGGAAUCUUCCGCAAUGGACGAAAGUCUGACGGAGCAACGCCGCGUGAGUGAAGAAGGCCUUCGGGUCGUAAAACUCUGUUGCCGGGGAAGAACAAGUGCCGUUCGAACAGGGCGGCGCCUUGACGGUACCCGGCCAGAAAGCCACGGCUAACUACGUG
rnacentral:rRNA from 1 species